CUUGGUCAUUUAGAGGAAGUAAAAGUCGUAACAAGGUUUCCGUAGGUGAACCUGCGGAAGGAUCAUUACAAGUGAGGCUACCGAACGUUGGAAACAGCGGUUAGGAGCUUACACCCACCCGUGUUUACAUACUAUUGUUGCUUUGGCGGGCCGUGGCCUCCACUGCGGGCUCUGCUCGUGUGUGCCCGCCAGAGAACCAAACUCUGAAUGUUAGUGAUGUCUGAGUACUAUCUAAUAGUUAAAACUUUCAACAACGGAUCUCUUGGUUCUGGCAUCGAUGAAGAACGCAGCGAAAUGCGAUAAGUAAUGUGAAUUGCAGAAUUCAGUGAAUCAUCGAAUCUUUGAACGCACAUUGCGCCCUGUGGUAUUCCGCAGGGCAUGCCUGUUCGAGCGUCAUUUAACCACUCACGCCUAGCGUGGUAUUGGGGCACGCGGUCUCCGCGGCCCUCAAAAUUAGUGGCGGCGCCGGUGGGCUCUAAGCGUAGUACAUACUCCCGCUAUAGAGUUCCCCCGGUGGCUCGCCAGAACCCCCAAUUUUUACAGGUUGACCUCGGAUCAGGUAGGGAUACCCGCUGAACUUAAGCAUAUCAAUAAGCGGAGGA
rnacentral:sRNA from 1 species